AUUGGAUGGGUGGUGGUGCGCGCACCCACCUCUCCAGAAAUGAGUGGUGUGGUUCGGUUGUUUUGUGCAGUGAUUCUUAUAGUUAAUCGUGUUGUGUUUAAUGCCCUAAUGGAUAUACUACAUACAAAUUUCGAAGUCUUGGACCUGGAUUGUAACGACACACAUUGGAGAGAGAAAAUUGUCCAAAAUCUUUAAACAUUAUUCGGAUUCUUUCGAGGGACAGAUGCUUGGAAAUCUAAUGUAUGAGUUUAGUAGAGCAAGUAUCCUAACAUCAACAGGGUUGGUUGAAUCAUCGGAUCUCAACGACACUUGCCAUACCUAAAUCAUCUGUGAUCAGAAUAGUGCAAUUAUUCCAAGAGUGCAAAUGUGUAUAGAUGACAUCCAAGAGUAACAAAUGAAAGGGAGAAUCGUUAAAUAGCCAUUUUUUUUUCAUCGCAACCGUAACGUCACUGUGGCAGCUGCAAGAACACAGUUUAGAAGAACCUACGGUAGACUGAUUUCUGCACUUACAAUGCGACGUCGACUUACUGAUGCUACUUUAAGAUCUAAACGGCCAUUAAGAGUGCCUAGACUUACUAGGCAACAUAUAGCUACCCGUCUAUGACUUUUACCACACUCGAGAAACCACCACUCUGUGAGACAAUGUCCGAUAAUUUGAUUUGGCCAAAGAACUCGCCAGACAACUCCUCAGGAGCUAAUUGUAGCAAAUCAGGACGAAUGGGCCAACAUAUCGCAAGAAGAUAUCAAUAAUUUAAUUCUUUCAAUGCCACGGUAGAUGAGUUAAUUGCUUCAAAAAAUCAAAUGAAUCAAAAUGAUUAAAUGUACAUUGUAGUUUAUUGUCAAUAUAAAUAGG